AUUUUUUGCGCGGAGAGAGAAGAGUGCAGCGGAGGAGGGAGAGAAAAGGAGAGUUUGUUUCCGCCGUGCCCAGAAUAGCCCAAUAGAAAUCGGAGAAGAUGUGCAGUCCUUCCAACCUUCCUCGGGUAGUGAUCGAUUACCAUACACACCUAUCGGCUUGAUGUCCUUUUUUUUUUUUUGUCUUUGUCUUGAUUUUAGUCAUUAGUUCUGCACAUACCUGGGAUUUGAGUGAAGUAACAGAGGACGGACUGUAUUGUGGCCACUGAGCUUGCGAAGCCCCUCACUGCUUAUUGCAUGUAAGAUUAGCUCAAUUUAAUUACUUUAGUUCAAUUUUCUGAUUAUUUACGUCUGCACAGAUCAAACUUUUGGAGAAAAAAUAAUGUGUGUGAUUGAAUUGUGAUACUAAGAAUGGAAACUGAUUAGACAUAGCUCAAAAUGGGUGAAGCUUAUAUUUUCAAGCUUUCCUUUAUCCUCAACAUCUGCUUAAGGCUUUUCAGUUGAGAUAUUAUUGGAGUGGUGUUUUUCUGAUUUGACUCUGGCAAUGACAGAAACGAGUUUGGAGUAGAAUCUCAGCCAAAAGAGGCUGAGGAAAGUGUGAGUUUAGGAUGAUCACAUCUCAUUUCUAUACUAUUGACCAUGGCAAGAGCUCCAUGUUGUGACAAAGCUAAUGUCAAAAAAGGACAGUGGUCUCCUGAGGAAGAUAAAGCUAAGUCUUGGGACUCAUGGAACUGGUGGCAAUUGGAUUCAUCUGCCACAAAAAGCUGGCUUUUAGAUUCUUCAACAAGAAUCAAGUUGACCACAUUAAGGGUGAUCAGAACACGUGGUUUUCUAAUAAAGAAGCCAAGCUGCCGAAAUUGCAGAAAGUCACCCCUCAAUUUGCAACUUUGUUUCUUCCAUGACUUGGCAUCUGAGUAAUCGACUGCAAUACUUUGAAGGUAACAAUCUGAUAUUUUCCAAUUAGUUCUCUGUUUAUCUGAUGAAACCAUUUCAAUUUGAUACUUUCAAGCACAACAAACACUCAGCCACAUUUAUCGUCUUUUUCCUUUAUCAUUGUUGUUUUUUAUUUAUCUAUUAAUUUUAAAUACAUACAAUUUGAUCUCAAUUAAUAAGCCAACUUUUAAGUUUUCAAUAGUUCCAGUAUCCAAAAUGUUUUGCUACUGCUUUCAGUUUUCAACUUUCUUUCUAUUUUGUCUCUCUCUGUUUCCAGCUUCAAUUUUAGAUCUGUUGUUACUAUUCCUUCCAUUUUGAAUUCUUGCUCAUUUUGAAGCUCUUCGAUUUUCAAUUAAUUCACUGAGGUAUCUACAGCAAGAUUGUUGUUUUGCUUAUGGAUGUUUGUUUUAGUAUUUCAUUUCUGUUAAAUACAGGGUUAGAAGAUCGUUUAAAUUUUGACAAUUGUCAACUCCUUAAUCUUUAUUGUUUUGUGAAUCUGUAUGCCUUAUAUAUCAAUGCUGCUUUUUAUUUCAAAAUCACUAUCUGCCAUAGAGACAAUCCUUUAGAUCUGUAUGAAUUCAAUAGGAAUUCAUCUUUGAAAAGAACAUUCCCAAGAUUAUUGUUCUGCAUUUUGAUAAUGUCAUUCAUGUUGCUUAUUGGAUAGUUGUAGCAUGCAGAUCCAUAUUCUUUUGUUUAGUUUAUACUGAUAAAGCUGCUCCAAGUAUGUUGUUACAUCAUUCUUACAAACAAAUUUCCAUUACAGAAAAGUUAGUUUAUCAACACACAGGCACUACUAGCUAACAAAUGUACUACUACUUCUUACUGUACCAAAGUGCUUUAAACUUCAAGCAGUUUUGUUUUUCAUCUGAUGUUAAGCUUAGAAAAAUAAUUCGUUUGCAACAACAUAUAAUGCAUAAGCUUUUGACAGAAAAUGAAAAUUCAGCAUCCUUCAGAUUCAUAUAAAAGCUGUCUUGCUGCCUUGACAAUUAAAGGUUAUGUAUUCUUUAUACUGUUUCUGUACAGGUUAAGCAAUAUCAGUAUGCCAAAGAUACAAAACGAAUUGCUUCUAAAAAGUCAUGGUUCUCUUACGAAUCUAGUAUGAUUUGCAAAUCGGAUGGUUUCUUUUUCUAAUUUUUUUUUUUCUAUAUGCUCUCCUUAAGUAUACUUGGUUAGACUCCACGUCUAAUCUAAUUCAAGCACUCCUUCCACAGGUCUGGGAAUGGCUUCUUGUGAUUUUGAUCAUUGAUUUAUUUGUAUUAUCCUCCAACACUGUGGCACUCAAAGGUCAGACGAUAAAGUAUUUACAGUCUUGGACAUCAUUUUACACUUUUCAAUUUCAAUAUCUGCAUCACUAUUUAUGCCUGGUAAAUGCUAAAUGCAUAUAUCCACGUAGUUUAGUGUUGUUUAAUGUGAUGUUCAUGAUGUAAAUAGAUACUUCUUCUUGAUUUGAUGUGGAGGUGUGCAUUAGCUAAUAUUAUGUUUUCAUAGCAUUUCUCAAAUUCUCCAUCUGCAAGAUUUUUUAACUUUGGAUGAUGACUGCAGUUGAACAUCUUUCUUUUUCUUCUUUGGGUGAAAUAGUGAUAACUCGAUCAGCUAUGAGUAGAUGUAUAGCAGCCUCCUUCAGUACUCAUGUUGUAAAGUUUUUAGUCACACAAAGGUGCUGAACUUGGGAACUUUGAGAUCUUUUCUCACAUGUUGUUUGUUAUAGGAGAGAUCUUCUAUCAUUGUUGUGUCUGAAAUCUCUUUCUUUGAGAAAUGCAGCACUUUUGAAAAUUGUUUUUGUUAUUUCCUGCAAAGGAAGAGGCAGUGACAGAUUAUUAAUAUGAAUGUUGUAAAAUAUGUUGCAGUAAACAUGUAAAAUGUUUGUCAUUAAUGAAAUCGAUAUCUGAUAGCUUUUAGUUCUCCUUACAA